UACGUAGGGGGCGAGCGUUGUCCGGAAUUAUUGGGCGUAAAGAGCGUGUAGGCGGUUCGGUAAGUCUGCUGUGAAAUCCUGAGGCUCAACCUCGGGCGUGCGGUGGAUACUGCCGGGCUAGAGGACGGUAGAGGCGAGUGGAAUUCCCGGUGUAGCGGUGAAAUGCGCAGAUAUCGGGAGGAACACCAGUGGCGAAGGCGACUACCUGGCCUGUUCUUGACGCUGAGGCGCGAAAGCUAGGGGAGCAAACGGG
rnacentral:rRNA from 1 species